GUCUUUAGUUAAUACACAAAUUCAGCUUAAAUUCUGGAUGGAAAAUAAAUCCCAAGUGGAGGCUCUGCUAAUAAGAUGACAGACGCUUCGGGAGCCGGGGCUGCUUGUCAGCAGAGUGGUUGUGACUGCUGAGAUCUGUGAGCAGCAACAUGCUCAGGCACAAGGUCCUUAAAGUUACCACGAGUUGUCGGACUAAAUUACAGAAAAAUUAGGCAGAUGGCUGAGGUGAGCUCUAGCUUGAACUGCUAGAGCUGAACACGUUACAGCAAACGCCCCAAUGCAAUCCUGAGUCCCACACUGUCAUGGAGAGAAAAGGAAGGAGCUGGAGCAUCAUUUUAGGUCUGCAAAGCUACAAAGCACCCUCCUUUCUGACUGUGUGCUGGUCUGAGGUUCUCUGCAGUACCUCUCCUUUCUCAGUGACCCACUGCAGGUCACCCCAGCGUGUCCAUCCCAGGGAACUUUCACCCCAGAGUUGGAAAGGAACUGAGGUGUGGAAGAAUUCCAGGUCAUCCCUGCAUCUCCUGCUGACCUGCCUCACCUUUUGCAUGACAUCUGCUCCUGUUCACUCAGCACAUGAGCCCCUUGCCAGGUAGCAGGCAGGAUUUUAGUCAUUUAGGUCUCAGAUCGAUCUUUCUGGGAAGGUUCAGGCCUCUUAGUUACAGUCAGGACCAGUGAUGCAGCACUGGCCUCAUAAGCAUGGGGAGCCUGAGAUCACUACUUCUUUGCUGUAGAUUUCCACUGGACCCUCCUUCUCUCCUCUGCAGUCUCAAUCAGAAAGUCUGAUAGAGUAAGGUUCUAUUUUUUUAAUUUUUAUUUUCAGGUUUUCUGGUCAAUAAUGUGCAGCUGCUUUGUUUUUCUGAGCUCUCAAGAGGAGAGAAAGGCUAAUUCUGGAGCCUUUUAGGGCUGUAUUUACUGCAGCAGGGAAAGCCCUGACCACUGUCAGUGGACAUCUAUAAUGCAAAGUGGGAUAUGGCUAGGUCUCUGCUGCAGCCUGUGGACAAGACUUAACAGCCUUAAAGCAUUGUAGGGGAGCUGUAGGUGGAUGCAGCUGUUCCUCUCCUCUCUGAUCCCUCGUAACUCCACUCUCAUCUGGGACCUGCUUGGGCCAGUUGAGGACCCUUUCUGAGUCUCAUGAAGAACUGCAACUGGUUUGAUAACAGCUUAUUUAAUAAGACAGCAUAAGAAGAGGAACACAGAUAGCAAGUAAAUCUAACAUCCCUUCAGGUGCUGGGCGAGCCCACAUUUGCACAUUGUCAGGCAUAGCCUGGCUGGGUUUCUCCUAUGGAGUAGGUCAGAUCCCAUCCCUGGUGAGAAGCUCUCCCUUUGGUCAUUUGAGCUAGGAUACAAUUUUCUUGUAAGAGAACAACUCUAUUCCUAAAAGACAUUCUCAUGAGAACUUUUCUCUGCAUUGUUAGUCUGGCACACAGAUCUGCAGGUGGUAUGAUUGCCCGUGUCAAGUGGGUGCUGCCUGUAGGCUCCUGCACUGCAAUGAGCUGCUGAGUCUGUCCUGUGGCCAAGGGGGUGCAGGGCAGCCAUGCUGGGUGUGCAGCACGGCACAGGCAUGGCUGCGCUUGAUUAAUAGAUGUGUCACAUAUGUGUAGGAUCAGGGCCAGCACUCCCCCACUUCUGUACCACUCCUGAGGUGUGGGUGCCUUCCUCCAGCUGUCACUGGUGACCCUUUUGGUGCAGUUGGGUGCUCCUGGCUCUAACCCAGGAUUUGGGCUUUGUGCAUCCACCACCAAAUCUGAGGCUUUCUGCAUAGUUUCAGCUUAUCCUGGCCUCCAACCUGAGUUGUGCACCUGGCACUCAGGCCCAGAUUCUGCACCAUAGACAACCCAGGUGGCCCUGGAUAUGUGUACAGACUGGGGGAGAGCAGCCCCUCAGAAAGGGAUCUGGGAGUUCUGGUUGAUGGCAUGAUGAGGGGAAAAGAGCUGCUGGUGCUGGAGAGAGCAGAGGAGGCUGGGGCUGUGGCAGCCUCUGUCACAGCCCCACUCCCAGCUCAUGAAGGGCUGAGGUUAGCCACAAAAUCAGUGCAGGGACACAGAGAUGAAGGUGACGGCUGCCCAUAGGCAAGGCCAGCCUUGCUCUGCCUAUGGUUCCUGCGUCACAGAGCUGCUUAUCCCCACUGGGUGAGGCAGGGAGCACGCCAUGCUUUGAUGGAGACAAGGAGCGGUUUAGAGGGAAUUAGAAGGGAUUUAUGGUGGUGGAGGAAAUCACAAUAAGCAUGGCCUGGGUCAGGGGCACUGGGCUGUAUGGAGGGGCUUGUCGCCUGGGCAUGCACCUGAGGAAUUACAGCAUUGGCAGCAGGGCUGCUCACAAGGGUUUCUCUUAAAGCCCCAGAUCCCAGAGCUGUGGGACACACAAAUCUUGGUUUCCUUGUAAAAAUUUUGUGGUAACAGAGAUGAGACAGAGAAUGUGAACCAGCAAAGCGCAUCCCACUGGAACGUGAGUAAACAUGUUCCAGCAUUUAUUAUCUUUCCAGUGUGCUUGAAAUCCAGCCCCAACCUGGGAGAGUCUAGCACUGUGGGUUAGCAACAUGGAGAACCCAAAGAAUCUCCCUGUUUGCAUGUCUGACCUGAGGUUUCUCCUUGCUUCCAGUUGUUUAACUGUUGUAUGGCUGCUUUGGGGACCACCGUCCUGCACCGAUAGCUCAGAAUCUGUUGUCCCAAGACUUUGUUGCAAGCAUCAUCUCUCUUGGCAGAUCACCUGGCUCCUCAGUGCUAGCUGAGUGUGCUGAUGCCACGUGCAUAACAACCAGGCUCUGCUCCACCAUGCUGUGAACUUUGAAUGGCAAAGACAUUGUCUGUUCCCCUUGACCCGCUGGGACAAGAGGUGCAGGCUGAUGAAUGACAGUGGUAUUGGCACAGGUGUUGACUCUAGUUGCUAAUGGUUAUGGAGGACAUCCUGCUGGACCCCGGGGGAGGGUGAGCUGCUGGAGCAGUUUCAUCUCACAGCCUCAAGGAUGCCAGGAUGCAGCAGUGCCUGGAAAAACAUAGGCAGGCUUCUCCAAAGGAGCUUGGGAUCUGGCGGGUGGGUGGGGUGCUGACAGCUCCUCCAGCUGCCCUCAGACUGCUGCGAAGAGCCUGCCUUCACCUUCCACUCGGCACCCAGGCUGUCAGUGAGAUGUUUGUGAGCUCCCCGUGGUGUCUGGCAGGACUUGCCCACUCAGAAAUCAUAGGGCUCGGUGGUGUUGGCAGGCGGGGAUUUGGGAUGCAGCUGGGCUGUACCAGAGGGUUUUACCCCAGCUGUGUAAUGCAUAGCCAAGCUGCUAGCUGUCAGAAGCAGUAGGGUGCAUGUCCCACAUCCCCGCUGCUGAGCACUAGCAUUAGCAUAGUUUCCCUCGGUUACAAUAAGAGAUAAGAAUGGGGAAGGCUAGGAAUCUACUGUCAGGUGAAAAACAUCCAAUUGCUGCCAUUCCCAAAGGCACCGGCAGAGAAAACUCAGCCAGGUUCUUGCUGGAGCUUUGCCUGGAGCUGGUCCUGUGUUGCACACUUAAUGCUGGGAGGGUUCCUGCUCUGCAUCUUGCAGCUUUUCAGAUAGCAUCCUUGGGAGGAGAUCACAAGACAGGAGGAAGAGGACAGUCACAGCGCAUGUGAAGCUGCACCAAUCAGAGGACUGCAGGGAAGAAGAUGGAGACGUGGUGGGGGAGCAACAUGAGUCCCCACAUAAUCAUGGCAGAGGGUCAGCCAAUGAGUUAGCUGAGCAGGUCUUUGAGCUGGCAGGAGGACAGGCCAGGUGUCUGGUGGAUGGUGGCUGUGUGUGAGGUCUUCACCUGUGCUGCCAUUGCUGCUGCUGCAGAGCCCUGUGGAGCAACAGAGGCACUGUGUGGACUGGCAGUGCCCCAGCUGCUUGGGAAACAGUGGUGACGCAGAUCUGAACCUGGGGCAUCCCAUAAGGUGUGUGUUUUUUCCACAGCUGUAUCUCCAUGGACAAAGUGUGUGAGAUCUUGGGAAUAGAGAGAGACACAGGCAGAACAUUUUUAACUUUGGCUGCAAAGCCCGGCAGUCUGAGUCUUAGAGUGGCUUGCCUCAAGGUCAUGAAGCAAAGGCUACUAUGGAGGAAUGGGCGAAGCAAGCAGUGCUGCUCUAACAUACUUCUGGACAUCUUUUACCUAAAACAAGUGCAAAAGUGCUUUUGAUUCACCAUGUAGGCUUCUCUGAAGAUCUUAUGUCUGGCACAGACAGCCUCUAACAAAGCUCCAAGGUGACACAGCAACUUGUCACUGGCCUUGUCAGAUCCUGAGGCCUCAUUCUACUGAGUAUGGAUUCAGAUGCCCAUGGAACUGCUAGCUUUUGCUAGCUGUAGCUGGAUGCUGUUUUCCUGCUGUCAGAGGAGAGGUGAGGGUUGGGCUGACCUGCAUUUUGUUAGAACUGCUUCAUCGUUUAAUGCGUAAUUUGAUGGAGGUAAAACAAACUGCAGCAGGAAUUGUGCUGCUCAGAUAGGCAGUUUUCGUUUCUCUCUCACAAAGAGCUCUGUUGAGUGUCUGCAGCAUGUGGUGUGCGGUGCUCUUGGGCAAGGAGAAGACCUGGCUCUCCUGUCCCAGUGAGUGUGGACAUCUCCUGCCAUGACUCCUUGUUGUGUUGCUACAGGGCUAUUCUCUGUCACAGAUGCCCAUUAGCAGCCUGCAUCUGUGCUGUCGAACACAGCUACUGAUACAGGGUGGUUAUGAGAGAAGGAGCUCUUGAACUGUAAAUUUUUUUUCUUGCUAGGUAAAACAGUGUCAGGGAAUCUUCAGCAGCAUAGGAGUGCAACCACACGUUGCCCUCAUGCAGUUCGAUUUAUUGACUCUGCUGCAUCUUUGUGUCUGUCUUCUGGGAUAUUCCAGCUAAUAGCAGCAGCAAGGCUCCUGUGGUGCUCGGUGAUGCAAAGGUUGAGCCUUUGGGGAACACUUCUGUAGUGACCACUGUUUACUGUCUGGUAGUACUCGUAACCCAGCAAAAAAGGAAACCCAAAUGCAGGUAUAUUUUCCAGGAAUGCAGGAGUGGUGAGUGGUGUCUCAGAAGGAGCUUUUCUCCAACCAUGCCUUUCUUCUAAUCCCGUCACAGAAGAUGCUGGGUGCUGGGAAAGGUCCAUCUAAACUAUGACCAAAAUGGGAGAGCUCUCCAUCUCUUUGCACAAGGCUGCCUGGUGCAGUUCAUGAAGGCUGAGGCUGCUGCAGAUCCAUCCCACCCUCUGUGGCCCGCAGGAGCCUGCAACCAUGGCAGCUCCAGGCGAGUGGGAGGGUUUUCAUGUGAUGACUUCUGCAUGGUGAUGCCCACAGAGAUUUUCCAUUCCUUAGAGUCUGGAGGAAGGAGGGCAUCCCUGGGAGGACCUGAGGCCUGCCAGCGGGCCAUGAAGACAGAGUGCUUUGCUGUAGUCAGGACAGAGCCUGGGCUAAUGCUGACUUUGGUGGUGCUGCAGGCUGCUCCUGGGCAGGAGCUGGCCCUCCAUUGCAUUCGGUAUGCUUGUUGGAGCUCACAACUGGAACAUGCUGUCCUAGAAAACUGCAAAAACUGCAUUAGUCCCAGAGUCUCUGAGGCUGUUGCUCCUGCAUAGCCAUAUCCAGUCACAGGAAAGUGGGACAGGAGAGACCUGGCAGCAGCUCAGGUGUGGGGAGGAAACCACAAGGCUCUGUGCUGCCACUGGUGUGAGCCUGGCAUGGCUUCUCCUCAGAUGCUUGGAAAACUGUGAAGGGGAAAUCAAGGUAAAGAGGAUGAAGGCUAGUGACUCAAGUUCAGCUGCAUGUUUUUUUCUAUGCCUAAAACUUUCUCAGGUCCUAAUUAAGGACACAUUAAGUGAUUAGUGUCACCUGUGAUUUAAUCAAGGUUAAUAGGCAGCACCUGUCAUUAAUGGCAACCAUGACAACCAUGACACGAUGCAUAUCAGCUGCAGCUUGCUCUUCCAAAGUACGGAGCAAUCUACCUGCAGAGAGGUGCUCAGCCUAUCACAGUACCACUUUGUGUUGAAAGGGACUCUCGGGUUAAAAUCAUAUCUAGAAAUAAUAAUGCAUUCCCUUACCUCUGUUUCUAAUAGCACAGUUGAUACAGGGAAAUCAGGGGAUAUUCAGAAAUGAGGAGAGGUUCUCUCUGUGGUUUUGCCUGUGUAGCCACCCACGUGCACAGCCCAAACAUAUUUUUAAUAAUCACAAGCAGUGUCUUUAGGGAAAGACGCUGAAACUUUCACUCUAAAUUGAUUUCUGCUCCAUGUGUGGCUCCCAAGAAUAUUCCAUGGGCGUAUUUUUUGGGAGUAGGGGGUCAGUGAGGGGUAUGUCUCACAGUGCAGCAUUGUCAAGGGCUUGGUGUAACUUACAUUUGAUUCCUUGUGCACCUGCUAUGCAAAGUGAUUUUAUGUGUUUUGAUUGCCAGGCUACAGAGACAGGUCAUGCAGGGAUGCUGAUGAGUGUCUAGCCAGUGCUCAAAUACGUUCUAACAGCAGUGGGUCUGGAUGCAGGCCUGGAGGCUUGCAAGGGCUCUGCCACAGAGCCACCACUUCCAUUUCACAAUUUGCAGACCAGUCGUGAAGCCCUCCUGAUCCCCACUUUCACCCGUGUGCUUUAAGCUGCUAGGACACGAGGAACCCUGUUUAAAGCUGGCUGUAUCCUCAUACAUGAACACAAGUGCUGGGAAUUGCAAGAGAUGUUGAAGUAUGCGGACUGACUGGGAGAAGUGAUGAGUUGUGCCCUGGGAUGAGGACAUAUCUGGAGGGACCAGGAAAGGCAGUGCAUCUUAGCAGAUGUGCUUUACCUCUGGAAUCAGCUGUGUGAGAGCUGCUGGCAGGUUUUGCAUGCCAUUCAACAUCUCCCUGCAGAUGAAAGAUCCCUCCCUAAACUCCUGUUUGAGGGGACAAUUAAUCUGCAAAACAGAUGUGGAAGGGCAUCUGGACAGCUGUACCCAAAGUUCCUACACAUUUGCCUGGAACAAGCUGCAGCAUUUUGGCAUGCAGUGUCAUAUGCUGGAGCAGACCCUGGGCAGGGGAAGCUGGUGAAGACAUUCUCAUGGAUUGCCAUAGUUGUAGUGCUUGUGCAAAACCAUUUGUAUAACCUGAUGAUCUGUCCUGUUAGCAGAGGCUUUGGGCAAGAAGUAAUCACAAUUCUGAUCUGGGCAAAGUGUUUCCCAGGCAUAGGCUGAGCUUUGGGACUGUGGUCCAAGGGCAGGAGCUGCCAGGCAGACCGGCAAUGCCCUGAGUUAUGGGGUGACAGGGCUAAUGAGGCUGAAGCCUGGAACGCCCUAUCUCUCCCUCUAGGAUGGGAUGUAGUCUGAAGAUAGGUGUGACUGGCGGUUCUGCAUGCUUCAUUUUCACAUCUCAACAUCAGCUCAGCUUGUUCUUUUACAGAGGGCUGGGAGGAGUGGGGUCAGAAGGUCCCAGCUGUCUGGAACUGCCUGUCCUGAUCCUGGUGCCCCGUUUCAAUGCCUGGGGAAUGGGCUCCAUCCUCCUUUCCCCUCCCUGCUGGCAGCCCUCCUCUGACAGAACUGCCUUGCUUCAGCCCUGCCACAGCCCAUCUGGGAACUGCCUGGGUGCAGGCAGAAGGGAGCAGCAGCCUUCCUGCUGCCAGACACUGAGCAGAUGGUUUCAUCCACACCUAGACAAGACUCUGUCUACUGGGCUGACAUCAGAGGCUAAACAGUUGUGUGAACACAUUCCCUCUGUCAUCGCUGACUUUUCCUGUGCAGUUGUCCUGAGGGACAAAGAGAGGGGUCAGCAUGUGGGAUGUCUGAGCACGUGGAACAUCUUGAUGCCAGCCCAGCUCUGCAGGGACUGAGUGCAGAGGAAGCACGGGACGCAGCUGCUGGGCGUAGCGGGGCUCGUUUUGCAGAGGUUGCCGGUCGCACACUGACCGCGGUGCUUGCCAGCUCCCGAGGGAGGAAGCAAUCUGUGUCAUCUCACAGCGGGCUUCCUUAAAUCUCAGCCUGAUUAAGUGGUGGCAAUAUGGGCUGCCCGAUAUGAAACAGCCAGCUUCCUUCUCUGAAAAGGGCCGAUCGUUAGUGCAGAAAUAGCCUGUUAAUGGUGUGCAUUUUCCUACAGUCAGAGGCCAGUAACAGCGGAAUCACUAGAUUCUGACUGUGUGGGUAGAUUCUAAAGACGACCAGCAUCACAUAUUGGUUACAAAGUGAGUCUGCCAUGCUUCUGAGAAAGGUGAAUUUGAACACUCUGGGUUUCUUUUCAACAUCAAGAUGUGUGAGGGAUUUAGGGAAUAUCCUCUCAGUUUCUGACAUCUUGUCUGACCUUUAGAAUGCCGUCCUUGUGCUUUCUGUGCUGAGAUAUGGGCUGAAAUACCCAUGGACUGCACGCAGAGAUGGUGAAGCUUGCAGAAAGCUUUGCUGUAGAAGAAGAGAUGGUGCAGAAGGCACUUGGAAGGUUUUUUUUGUGGCAGUGGUUUUCCAUCAGCACAUUUACUGAGAGCUGUAUCACAGUCUGGAAAGAGAGUUUAAUGCACAGACUGCUGAUAAAGAAGUGCAGUAAGUAGUUACAUUAGAGUUAUUUAUUCAUUUCAAAGAGAUAAAAGCUUUCUGAAAUCAGUGCAGUCAUCUUAGCUUGUGGCUGUUGUUUUUCUUAGUUUCUUGUGUAUUUUAGAGAUCCAAUUAAUUUACAGGCAAUGACUGAUGCUGAGAAGAAUACAGCUCAAGCUGAACUGUUUAUUUUUCUUUCCCUUCGUUCUCAGAAAGCGAUGAGCUGGGGCCUGCCUCGGUGGUGGGUCUCCAGCAUUCAACAAAUAGGAAUAAAAUACUGUCAGCUAUGUUUGUGCUGAGACACAGUCAAACAUUAGCACUUCUCCAGUUUGAAGAGCGAAGAGUUAUGGAGGUAUUGUAACUAACAGCAUCAAUGCAUUUUGCCUGGUGAACACUAUGUAGGAAGCAUAAAUUAAGAGUUGUCCACUGGAAUCCUCUGGAGAUGUGACCUGGAGGACACCAGCCUCAGGUGCUGCUGUAUGCAGAUUCCCUGCACUGCAGGGAGAAAUGUGGGAUGGCCUUGCCUUGCACACUCCUUAAUUUCAGCAUGCUGGUUAGAAGGGAACAUCAAACUUGGAGAUAUUUAUGUGCAACUUCUACCUGAAAAGCUUUCUGAGAAACCCUGCCAUCCUUUACGGACGUGUUAUGUAGGGAUUUCUCGCUCCCUGUUGGAAGGCAGGAGUCUCAAUGAGUUGGACCCUCGUGAACAGCGCAGUGAUGCUUCGCAGGCAGUUAUGACCUCCAGCACAGGGCUGUGCUGAGGAGCAGCCUUCAGCAGUUGGGAUCAGAUCUGAAGUAUUGCUAUCAAGGGCAUCUUUUUCCUGGGAGCUGUCUCUGACUUCCACACUACAUAACAAAGUUCCCAGUGCUUGGGGAUGAGCACCUUGCACUGUAAUCUUUGCCCAGCUCUGCUCUGAGCCCCGUGCUGUGCUCUGAGACACUGUCAGCAGUUGCUGGGGUUUCAGCAGUGCCAGAUUCCUAUGAUCCCAAAGAGGUGUGGAGGCCAAGCAUGAUCUAACUGUUGUUCAUGAUCUGCCAACCAUUAGAGGCUGAACUGAUCUCCUUCAAACAAGAGCCCAUGGGCAAAAAAGCUGUACCUGUGGUAUGGAGAGGACCUGAAAGCAAAACAGAGCUGUGGGCAGCGUAGGCACGCACAGAGGGAGCUCAGUGGCCCCCAGUGCCCUCCAGAGAUACGUGUUCAAGCCCUCCUUCCUGGACAUCCCAGCAUGGCUCUUGCCUCCCUGAUGAGCGUUGCCCUGGGCUGCUUGGGCAAGUAGGCCUCAUUUUCCGUGGAGAGGUUCAGUUUGAGACCUGAAGCUUGUUUCAGUGUAGGGCCUGGGAUUUAGACCAACCUGCUGGCCCAAGAAGAAGAACCACUGUCUGCCAGGAAGGAAAAUCCCUCUCCUCUUGAGUCAUGUUUGGGUAACCUGUUUCAUUCCCCUUAAAGUCUAUCUAGAACCUGAUGGCAGGUGCUAAUAACUUCAUUGGGAUUUAGAAUCAUAGAACAGAAUCAUAGAAUCACUAGGGUUGGAAAAGACCCCUGAGAUAUCUAGUCCAACUGUCCGCCUACCAUCAGUAUCGCCCACUUAAACCAUGUCCCUGAGUACCACCUCUGCACCCACCAUCAUCUCCUGAUGAUGACUGUCCUUCUGAGGAAGCCUUUUUUAUGCAGCUAUCUGCUGUCACAUUGAAGCAAGGUUAGGCCAGUCCCUGGGGCUUUUCACUGAGGCAAGCAGGGCUGGCCUCAGCUUGUAAUGCAGGUGGCCAACUGGCCUCAUGUAUUCCACGUUAUUCUUUCUGCCUUGGGGAAAGGCCAUGCACCACCGAGGUCCUGAUUACUGUGAUCCUGUUUGAACUGUUCACUGUCUGACGAGUCUUACUCUCCCUGUCCUCUUCUAGGAGCUGAUAAUCCUCUCCCUCCAAUAACACCUUUCUCUAGUCCUCUUUUUCCCUUUUUCCCUAGUACUGGUGUCACCGUGCUCUGUUCACGUCUCUUUCAGCCUCCUCUUUUCUUUCUGAUCACGUCCUGGCCAUCCCCCUGUGCCCCGACCCAGCUUUCCUUGCUGCCUUACCUCUCUGCAGCUCAUCACCACUGGCGUGUCCCAACAGGCUGGCAACACUUGCAAAAUGAAAAUAUCUUCUACCACAUUUUUCAGUUUUGCCACCAAAAUCUGACAGCCAAGAUUAUGAAGCGGCUUCUGCUGCUCACUGUGUGCUUGCUGACCUGAAGGCAACCUAGCCAAGGCUCUCCUGAGCAGUUCUCAAGCCAUUCUUGCUCUCAUGCUUUGCUGCUCCAGGAAGAAAGGACAGUUCUUGGAUCACCGUAGCCUGCUUGACUUCUCCAAUCUCAAAUUAUUCUGCUUUUGACAUAGGCAGCAGGCUAGCAGCUGGCACUUGUGAGAGCUGAGGAGGGAUUGUUUUCAGGACAACAGGAAAGAAGAGACUGACAAUGCAGAUGGAAUGGAAGAAAAUGACAAGUGAUUAAACAUCUGUAGAUGAAUGGAGAUGCAGCUUAAGAGAUUGACUGUCGCCUGCUGAGUGGAGAGAUGGAAGGAAAGAUUGCGUUCAUGUGCACCAGGAUUGCAAAUCCCACCCUCCCCCAGCAGAUCUUAAAUUGUGUUUGUUAUUUAUUUUGAGCCUUCCCAUGUAUAAGCCUUCACACAGCUCUGUACUGCACCUUUAUAGCCCCAGCUACUAUUUCUACCUCCCAGAACCUCUGAUCUUGUUUUCUGGGCAGAGAUCCUACAAAAUAAAACUUAUGUGGUAAAACAA